AUGCGAAGAUUGUUGCGAGUUGUUGAUGAAGAUCUCAAUGUGGUUCAGAGAGAGAUAAUUCUUUUUGGUCAGGAGUGUACAGAUGGACGUAGCUAUACAUAUAGGACCCUCUCAGCAUCGGAGCCUCGUAUUGGAUGUUUGGUCACAGGUCUGGACAUGAGGCAAGGUUGCAGGGAUGCAAGGUUUAUUCCUAAAGCCACUUUGAAGAGAAUGCAUUAUGAAAGGCUUUGA